GGAAAGCAAUCAUAUGGCCAAAUGCAGGAUGGCUGGUGAGAGUGAAGAUGAGUGAAAUGGAAGUUCCCAGAGCUGUGGAGGAAACAGAGCUCAAACAGGACCUGAAGUUAACCCAGUGUAAAGAUCCAGAAAAUUAUCAAGAAAAUUCUACUUAUCAAACUUUUGCUCCCUAUGGUCUUGUAAAUAAAGAACUUCCCUGAAGCAAGCCUGAGGAGCAGCGUGGCUGUGGAUGGCUGUGGGCAGCAGUUCAGGACUGCUUGGGGAUGAGCAUGCUGGGGUGCCUCAGGUGUCCCUUGCAUGGCUGAGAACAAGUCAGCCCUGCUCCUCAGGAGCAGGACAGAGAGCUGGAGUGAGGAAGUUCAGUCUCCUCUCCCAGGAGAACAUCCAGGUUUGCGCAGUGAAGGCCAGCACAGCCCUGCAGGGCCUGGCAACCCCUUCUGUUUCCUGACACCUUUUUCUACAAUGCAAAAGGAACCAGAGGAAACCGGGGCCAGAUUCCCAGCUGGUAAAAAUCAACAUGACUAAGGGACAAAUCUUCAAUUCUUUACCUUAAAACCCAAUGGAGAAUUUCAAAUACAGAAAGAUUCAGACAUGGGGAUUCAAUGCCUGGUUCGUAAAGGUCCAGCUCUGCCAGCUUGCCAUGGCUGCUGGCUGCCCUGCACAAGGUGGGAUGAGGGGACUCACUUGCCAUUUCCUGGUGGAUUCAGCGACAGCACAGGGACAUCGGCCACCUCUGUUCAUA